UACGAAGGGGGCUAGCGUUGUUCGGAAUCACUGGGCGUAAAGCGCACGUAGGCGGAUUUUAAGUCAGGGUGAAUCCCGAGGCUCAACCUCGGAACUGCCUUUGAUACUGGAGAUCUUGAGUCCGGAAGAGGUAAGUGGAACUGCGAGUGUAGAGGUGAAAUUCGUAGAUAUUCGCAAGAACACCAGUGGCGAAGGCGGACUACUGGUCCGGAACUGACGCUGAGGUGCGAAAGCCGUGGGGAGCAAACAGG
rnacentral:rRNA from 1 species